rnacentral:rRNA from 1 species
GAUGAACGCUGGCGGCGUGCCUAAUACAUGCAAGUCGAGCGAACAGAUAAGGAGCUUGCUCCUUUGACGUUAGCGGCGGACGGGUGAGUAACACGUGGAUAACCUACCUAUAAGACUGGGAUAACUUCGGGAAACCGGAGCUAAUACCGGAUAACAUAUUGAACCGAAUGGUUCAAUGGUGAAAGGCGGCUUUGCUGUCACUUAUAGAUGGAUCCGCGCCGUAUUAGCUAGUUGGUAAGGUAACGGCUUACCAAGGCAACGAUACGUAGCCGACCUGAGAGGGUGAUCGGCCACACUGGAACUGAGACACGGUCCAGACUCCUACGGGAGGCAGCAGUAGGGAAUCUUCCGCAAUGGGCGAAAGCCUGACGGAGCAACGCCGCGUGAGUGAUGAAGGUCUUCGGAUCGUAAAACUCUGUUAUCAGGGAAGAACAAAUGUGUAAGUAACUGUGCACAUCUUGACGGUACCUGAUCAGAAAGCCACGGCUAACUACGUG